rnacentral:rRNA from 1 species
GAUGAACGCUGGCGGCGUGCCUAAUACAUGCAAGUCGAGCGAACGGACGAGAAGCUUGCUUCUCUGAUGUUAGCGGCGGGCGGGUGAGUAACACGUGGAUAACCUACCUAUAAGACUGGGAUAACUUCGGGAAACCGGAGCUAAUACCGGAUAAUAUUUUGAACCGCAUGGUUCAAAAGUGAAAGACGGUCUUGCUGUCACUUAUAGAUGGAUCCGCGCUGCAUUAGCUAGUUGGUAAGGUAACGGCUUACCAAGGCAACGAUGCAUAGCCGACCUGAGAGGGUGAUCGGCCACACUGGAACUGAGACACGGUCCAGACUCCUACGGGAGGCAGCAGUAGGGAAUCUUCCGCAAUGGGCGAAAGCCUGACGGAGCAACGCCGCGUGAGUGAUGAAGGUCUUCGGAUCGUAAAACCCUGUUAUUAGGGAAGAACAUAUGUGUAAGUAACUGUGCACAUCUUGACGGUACCUAAUCAGAAAGCCACGGCUAACUACGUG